rnacentral:rRNA from 1 species
GACGAACGCUGGCGGCGUGCUUAACACAUGCAAGUCGAACGGAAAGGCCCUGCUUUUGUGGGGUGCUCGAGUGGCGAACGGGUGAGUAACACGUGAGUAACCUGCCCUUGACUUUGGGAUAACUUCAGGAAACUGGGGCUAAUACCGGAUAGGAGCUCCUGCUGCAUGGUGGGGGUUGGAAAGUUUCGGCGGUUGGGGAUGGACUCGCGGCUUAUCAGCUUGUUGGGGGGGUAGUGGCUUACCAAGGCUUUGACGGGUAGCCGGCCUGAGAGGGUGACCGGGCACAUGGGGACUGAGAUACGCACCAGACGCCUACGGGACGCAGCAGGGGAGAAUUUUGCAGAAUGGGCGGAAGCGUGUGGCGGAAACGCCGCGUGCGUGAUGACGGCCUUCGGGUUGUAAACCGCUUUGGCCUGUGACGAAGCGUGAGUGACGGUAAUGGGUAAAGAAGCACCGGCUAACUACGUG